rnacentral:rRNA from 1 species
UACGUAGGGUGCGAGCGUUGUCCGGAAUUAUUGGGCGUAAAGAGCUCGUAGGCGGUGUGUCACGUCGGCCGUGAAAACCUGCAGCUCAACUGCAGGCUUGCGGUCGAUACGGGCAGGCUGGAGUUCGGUAGGGGAGACUGGAAUUCCUGGUGUAGCGGUGAAAUGCGCAGAUAUCAGGAGGAACACCGGUGGCGAAGGCGGGUCUCUGGGCCGAUACUGACGCUGAGGAGCGAAAGCGUGGGGAGCGAACAGG